rnacentral:misc_RNA from 1 species
GCAAACUUGGUCAUUUAGAGGAAGUAAAAGUCGUAACAAGGUCUCCGUUGGUGAACCAGCGGAGGGAUCAUUAAAGAGUGUAAUAACUCCCAAACCCAUGUGAACUUACCUUCUGUUGCCUCGGCAGGUCGCGCCUACCCUGUGAGACUCUACCCUGUAGAGUCCUACCUGGUAGACGCGGGUACCCCUGCCGGCGGCAUACAAAACUCUGUUUAUUAUAUGUUAUUUCUGAAUCUAUAACUAAAUAAGUUAAAACUUUCAACAACGGAUCUCUUGGUUCUGGCAUCGAUGAAGAACGCAGC